rnacentral:rRNA from 1 species
GAUGAACGCUGGCGGCGUGCCUAAUACAUGCAAGUCGAGCGAACAGACGAGGAGCUUGCUCCUCUGACGUUAGCGGCGGACGGGUGAGUAACACGUGGAUAACCUACCUAUAAGACUGGGAUAACUUCGGGAAACCGGAGCUAAUACCGGAUAAUAUAUUGAACCGCAUGGUUCAAUAGUGAAAGACGGUUUUGCUGUCACUUAUAGAUGGAUCCGCGCCGCAUUAGCUAGUUGGUAAGGUAACGGCUUACCAAGGCGACGAUGCGUAGCCGACCUGAGAGGGUGAUCGGCCACACUGGCACUGAGACACGGUCCAGACUCCUACGGGAGGCAGCAGUAGGGAAUCUUCCGCAAUGGGCGAAAGCCUGACGGAGCCACGCCGCGUGAGUGAUGAAGGUCUUCGGAUCGUAAAACUCUGUUAUUAGGGAAGAACAAAUGUGUAAGUAACUAUGCACGUCUUGACGGUACCUAAUCAGAAAGCCACGGCUAACUACGUG